UACGAAGGGUGCAAGCGUUACUCGGAAUUACUGGGCGUAAAGGGUGCGUAGGUGGGUUAUUAAGUCAGUGGUGAAAUCUCUGAGCUUAACUCAGAAACUGCCAUGGAUACUAUUUGUCUUGAAUAUUGUGGAGGUAAGCGGAAUAUGUCAUGUAGCGGUGAAAUGCUUAGAUAAUGACAUAGAACACCAAUUGCGAAGGCAGCUUAACUUACAACAGUUAUUU
rnacentral:rRNA from 1 species